UGAACGCUGGCGGCGUGCCUAAUACAUGCAAGUCGAGCGAACAGACGAGGAGCUUGCUCCUCUGACGUUAGCGGCGGACGGGUGAGUAACACGUGGAUAACCUACCUAUAAGACUGGGAUAACUUCGGGAAACCGGAGCUAAUACCGGAUAAUAUAUUGAACCGCAUGGUUCAAUAGUGAAAGACGGUUUUGCUGUCACUUAUAGAUGGAUCCGCGCCGCAUUAGCUAGUUGGUAAGGUAACGGCUUACCAAGGCGACGAUGCGUAGCCGACCUGAGAGGGUGAACGGCCACACUGGAAAUGGGAAACGGUGCAGACUCCUACGGGAGGCAGCAGUAGGGAAUCUUCCGCAAUGGGCGAAAGCCUGACGGAGCAACGCCGCGUGAGUGAUGAAGGUCUUCGGAUCGUAAAACUCUGUUAUUAGGGAAGAACAAAUGUGUAAGUAACUAUGCACGUCUUGACGGUACCUAAUCAGAAAGCCACGGCUAACUACGUG
rnacentral:rRNA from 1 species